rnacentral:rRNA from 1 species
AUUGAACGCUGGCGGCAGGCCUAACACAUGCAAGUCGAGCGGCAGCGGGAAAGUAGCUUGCUACUUUUGUCGGCGAGCGGCGGACGGGUGAGUAAUGCCCGGGAAAUUGCCCAGUCGAGGGGGAUAACAGUUGGAAACGACUGCUAAUACCGCAUACGCCCUACGGGGGGAAGUAGGGGACCUUCGGGCCUUGCGCGAUUGGAUAUGCCCGGGUGGGAUUAGCUAGUUGGUGAGGUACUGGCUCACCAAGGCGACGAUCCCUAGCUGGUCUGAGAGGAUGAUCAGCCACACUGGAACUGAGACACGGUCCAGACUCCUACGGGAGGCAGCAGUGGGGAAUAUUGCACAAUGGGGGAAACCCUGAUGCAGCCAUGCCGCGUGUGUGAAGAAGGCCUUCGGGUUGUAAAGCACUUUCAGCGGGGAGGAAAGGUUGGUAGCUAAUAACUGCCAGCUGUGACGUUACUCGCAGAAGAAGCACCGGCUAACUCCGUGCCAGCAGCCGCGGUAAAAC